AUACAAGUAUACAACAAACAAGAUUGGAAAUUGAUUAUUGCGCCUUAAUUAAUAUGAGAACGUCUGUCCUCAAAUAGUAAUGGAUCAAAGUUAUUAGGCGUUCGGUAAAGUAUCACGAAGGGAAAAAACCCCGUUGUUUAAUUGACUGUGUGCAUGCAGUGACUCGAUGUAGAUUUCCCAAGGUGUUUCCUGCGCUCCGGAAGAUCGUACCGAUCUCAUGAAAUUCUAUGGUUCAUACGUUGUCAUGAGCAGCUUCGCACCUCGAUACGACUCUGAUGAUGGAUCUUCCAGCCAGUUGGAGGCAAACUGCCAUCGCAACAUUUUGUUCGCCUUGUUCCUGAGAAAUGCGUUGAACUUCCUGGGUGUUAUACGCGGGGG